CGGCAUGAAAGGCGGCGAGGAGAGGCAGCACUGCUGCUCUUGACUUCUGAGCAGGGCUUACAGAGCCUGCCCCGGGUUAAGCCGAGCUGCUGGUGCUGGCCCUGAGCGCCGAGUCCGCGAGCUCUGAGUCCGGAGCCUCCCAGCCGUGGAGCCGUGGGAUGAGGGGGCGUUGGGGAACAGGGCAAAGUCGAUCUUGGUUGUACAGCCGCCCGAUCCCAGCGCGGAGCUGCGAGCCUGACCGGCCGCGUCUGGCAUGGUCAGAGAAAGAAUUUUCUUUUCCCAACUCCGGCUUUUGGUUUUGUGUGUCCACCUUGCGCAACUCCGGAGCCAGUCGACCCCACAUGGAUUCUCAACAGGUGGCCGGGAAAGUCUGGAGACUCACCAAGCUGAGGAGGAAGAAGGGAACAUCUCAACCCAAGCUGAAUUCUGAAGAACACUUGGCCCCACCUUCCAGAAAUCCUAAAUCACAUAGAGGGAAAGUUUUGGCCAGGGUACCAAGAAUGAACCAGAAGCUGAGUCCAUUACUCCAAUUUUCACAUUAACCAGGAGACACAUUGAAAAUUCUUUUCUUGAGUGAGAGACUGAAAUUUUGGCUCAAGGGUGUUUCUGUUGGGUCUUUUCUUUAUGUGGCAUGUGAGGACUGCAUCCCACGUCACAUCUGCAGCCACUCCCAGAUUACACUGCAAGGGAGGGUAGAUUAGGAGUGGGUAGGGAGUAGAGGGGUCUGUAGACACAGCAAAAGCAGCAAACUGGUGUAGGAAAACCCAGAAAAUAUGUCUCAGAGACAGCCAGUGGCUGCACAUACAAAAGGAAGGCACCUAUCUGGAAGAGAAGGGGUUGUGAAGUUCUGCCCAGAGUCACAGCGCUGACGUCCUCAGAAGGUCUCCAGCCCUCUAUAGCAAUCUAUAG
rnacentral:lncRNA from 1 species